rnacentral:rRNA from 1 species
GCUAAUACCGCAUAACGUCGCAAGACCAAAGAGGGGGACCUUCGGGCCUCUUGCCAUCGGAUGUGCCCAGAUGGGAUUAGCUAGUAGGUGGGGUAACGGCUCACCUAGGCGACGAUCCCUAGCUGGUCUGAGAGGAUGACCAGCCACACUGGAACUGAGACACGGUCCAGACUCCUACGGGAGGCAGCAGUGGGGAAUAUUGCACAAUGGGCGCAAGCCUGAUGCAGCCAUGCCGCGUGUAUGAAGAAGGCCUUCGGGUUGUAAAGUACUUUCAGCGGGGAGGAAGGGAGUAAAGUUAAUACCUUUGCUCAUUGACGUUACCCGCAGAAGAAGCACCGGCUAACUCCGUGCCAGCAGCCGCGGUAAUACGGAGGGUGCAAGCGUUAAUCGGAAUUACUGGGCGUAAAGCGCACGCAGGCGGUUUGUUAAGUCAGAUGUGAAAUCCCCGGGCUCAACCUGGGAACUGCAUCUGAUACUGGCAAGCUUGAGUCUCGUAGAGGGGGGUAGAAUUCCAGGUGUAGCGGUGAAAUGCGUAGAGAUCUGGAGGAAUACCGGUGGCGAAGGCGGCCCCCUGGACGAAGACUGACGCUCAGGUGCGAAAGCGUGGGGAGCAAACAGGAUUAGAUACCCUGGUAGUCCACGCCGUAAACGAUGUCGACUUGGAGGUUGUGCCCUUGAGGCGUGGCUUCCGGAGCUAACGCGUUAAGUCGACCGCCUGGGGAGUACGGCCGCAAGGUUAAAACUCAAAUGAAUUGACGGGGGCCCGCACAAGCGGUGGAGCAUGUGGUUUAAUUCGAUGCAACGCGAAGAACCUUACCUGGUCUUGACAUCCACGGAAGUUUUCAGAGAUGAGAAUGUGCCUUCGGGAACCGUGAGACAGGUGCUGCAUGGCUGUCGUCAGCUCGUGUUGUGAAAUGUUGGGUUAAGUCCCGCAACGAGCGCAACCCUUAUCCUUUGUUGCCAGCGGUCCGGCCGGGAACUCAAAGGAGACUGCCAGUGAUAAACUGGAGGAAGGUGUGGAUGACGUCAAGUCAUCAUGGCCCUUACGACCAGGGCUACACACGUGCUACAAUGGCGCAUACAAAGAGAAGCGACCUCGCGAGAGCAAGCGGACCUCAUAAAGUGCGUCGUAGUCCGGAUUGGAGUCUGCAACUCGACUCCAUGAAGUCGGAAUCGCUAGUAAUCGUGGAUCAGAAUGCCACGGUGAAUACGUUCCCGGGCCUUGUACACACCGCCCGUCACACCAUGGGAGUGGGUUGCAAAAGAAGUAGGUAGCUUAACCUUCGGGAGAACGCUUACCACUUUGUGAUUCAUGACUGGGGUGAAG